UAAGUAAGUAAGUAAGGUCAUUAAGGUGUGUCAAAUUGAUAGUAUAGUGUCUAUAGUGACAAAGUGAUAGCCGAAGACUGAAUUUGGAGGCUGAAUUUGCUGAAACGGCUGUAGCUAAAUAAAAAUGUCCAUCGUGCAGGUUUUAGACGGUGGACGUCCAUCGUGCAUUCCAUCGUCCAGGUUUUAGCACAUGCCAUAUGUGGUCCUGAAAUAUUCGUUUUAGGAUGAAGUAAUACCAAUGUACGAACAGCAGACUAAACAGUGUUUAGUUCCAUGCAUAAAAAUUGGUGUGCAUUGCGUUACAUGUAUCUGCAAUGCAUAAUGUGAAAAGUUCACGACAAAACACUUACCUAUUUAGAUUGUUGCACUAAUUGGUGGAUAUUUUUUAUAAUAUAACACCUCAUUAAAUUAUGGUCAUUAAGAUCACGUGGUAUGGAUUAUAGUUAGCGCUAUUAACAUGUUAUUUCUUCACUAAAACAUUUGUUGGCACUUUUUUGUUGGAUUUUAAUUGUUUUUGAACAAGGUAUGUAUUUUAAUAUGCUGUACUUAAUGCACUUACAAAUUCGAUAAAAUUAUUCUAUUUUCAGUAUUUUGGUGUCAUUUUAAACACGUAAUGAAUGUUUUCAUUUGUGCAAUAGUAAAAAUAUUUUCAUUCUGUUAAAGAUUUAAUUUCCCAUUUCACUCGGCUGUCGCCUGCAUGCACACUGCAAAAAAUGCAUGAGUAAAUGUUACUCAUUUUAUGAGUUAUUGCAACAAUUACUCAAUAAUUUGAGUAAAUGUUACUCCUUCUUUAUGUUAAAAUACUUUUACUCUUAAACUUGUGUAAACAACAACUCUGUAUUUUGAGUAAAAUAAUUUGAGUAACUAUCACUCAAGACAAUGAGUAUUAUUUACUCAGCACUGAGUAAAUGACGAAAUUAAUUUUACUCAAAAGUGGAGUAAACAUCACCAACUCAAUUGAUUGAGUAAAAGCAUUUUUUUUACUCUUUUUUGAGUAAACAAAAAAAUUACUCAAAUUUUGAGUAAAAACUGACGAACAUCUCUACUCACGACGAUGAGUAUUAUUUACUCACUGCUGCGUAGACGACAAAAUUUACUCUUAAAUUGAGUAAUUUACUCACUGCUGCGUAAAUUACGAAAUUUACUCUUAAAUUGAGUAAACAACAACUCUGUAUUUUGAGUAAGAUCAUUUGAGUAUUGACCACUCAAGACAAUGAGUAUACUUUACUCAGCUCUGAGUAAUGACGAAAUUUAGUUUUACUCAAGAGUAGAGUAAACUU